rnacentral:snRNA from 1 species
ACACCUACGUGCUACAGGGUGGUUUCCCAGGGCGAGGCCGAGCCCCUGCACUGGGGAGCUGCUGAACCUGCCACUUCCCCACAUGGUAAACUGCAUAAUUUGUGUUGGGCGUUGCAUGAACACCUCUCCCCCCC